CACGCUUCUAACUCAGUAAGUCCACGUGAGACAAACUCGAAAGUUGCAUUCAAAACCGUGGACAUUUGAACGAUUUUAUAAACUUCCCCGGACAGUUAGGAUUAGGAUGAGGGUUAGGGUUAGGAUCAGGGUUAGGAUAAGGAUGAGGGUUAGGGUUAGGAUUAGGGGUUAGGAUUAGGGGUUAGGGGUUAGGAUCAGGGUUAGGGUUAGGAUAAGGAUGAGGGUUAGGAUUAGGGGUUAGGAUGAGGGUUAGGGUAAGGAUUAGGAUGAGGGUUAGGGUUGGGAUCAGGGUUAGGAUAAGGAUGAGGGUAAGUGUUAGGAUUAGGGGUUAGGAUCAGGGUUCGGAUUAGGGGUUAGGAUGAGGGUUAGGGUUAGGAUGAGGGUUAAGAUAAGGAUGAGGGUUAGGAUUAGGAUUAGGGUAAGGGUUAGGAUUAGGAUGAGGGUUAGAGUUAUGAUAAGGGUAAGAGUUAGUGUAAAGGUUAGGAUUAGGAUGAGGGUUAGGGUUUGGAUUAGGAUGAGAGUUAGGGUUAGGAUUAGGAUGAGGGUUAGGGUUUGGAUUAGGAUGAGGGUUAGGGUAAGGGUUAGGGUUAGGAUAAGGGUUAGGAUUAGGAUGAGGGUUAGGAUUAGGUUGAGGGUUAGGUUGAGGGUUAUGGUACGGCCCACCAAAAAAAGAGAACAUGUCCGGAUAAAAGAGGACUUAUUGUCACCCUUGUUUACACAUCUGGGAAGGCUCCACUAACACUGGGCUAAAUGAAUUUAGGAGCAAAAACUUUUCAGGGAACACCUUACACAUCUGAACAAGACAAUGCCCAACCACAUCCUGGGUGUGCUACCACAGAAGAG